AUGGUCAAGUCUGAUAUCUUUAGGAGGGGCGAAGCUCCUCUUAUUGUGAGGGCGAGUUUUAUAACACCAUAGGACUGGCCGUCCCAUAUGAAAAGAUUAUAUUUAGAAUUGAAUGAAGCUUUUGUUUAUAUAUUGAUAAUGACAGUAUAUAUAUCGUGUCUUGACUAAUUGCGUGCCAGCAGUCCGCGGUAAUACGAAGAGACUAGUGUUAUUCAUCUUAAUUAGGUUUAAAGGGUACCCAGACGGUCAAUAUAGCUUAUAAAAUGUUAGUACUUGACUAGAGUUUUAUGUAAGAGGGCAGUACUUGAGGAGGAGAGAUGAAAUUUCGUGAUACCAAAGGGACUCUGUAAAGGCGAAGGCAGCCCUCUAUGUAAAAACUGACGUUGAAGGACGAAGGCACAGAGAACAAACAGGAUUAGAUACCCAAGUAGUCUUUGCAGUAAAUGAUGAAUGCCAUAGGUUAGAUGGGUGGGCUCGUCUAGUUGAGUUAGUUUAGCAAACUAAUGAUCUAGACGAGCCCACCGUAUAUU
rnacentral:rRNA from 1 species